GACGAACGCUGGCGGCGUGCUUAACACAUGCAAGUCGAGCGAACAGACGAUGAGCUUGCUCCUUCGACGUUAGCGGCGGACGGGUGAGUAACACGUGGAUAACCUACCUCCUUGUUUGGGAUAACUUCGUGAAACCGGAGCUAAUACCGGAUAUUCUAUUGCUCCGCCUGGUUGAAUAGUGAAAGACGGUUUUGUUGUUACUUAUAGAUGGCUCCGCGUAGCAUCAGCUAGUUGGUAAGGUAACGGCUUACCACGGCGACGAGGCGUAGGCGACCUGGGAUGGUGGGCGGCCAGACUAGAACGGGGACACGGUCCAGACUCGUACGGGAGGCGGCAGUGGAGUAUGUUCCGCAGUGGGCGGGAGCUUGGCGGAGCGACGCCACGUGGGGGAUGAAGGUGUUGGGAUCGGGAUGCUCUGUUAUUAGGGAAGAACAAAUGUGUAAGUAACUGUGCACGGCUUGACGGUACCUAGUCAGAAAGCCACGGCUAACUACGUG
rnacentral:rRNA from 1 species